GUCUGUUUGUAGUUGUAGAGAGUUUAACCUGCCCAUUGAUAAAAAUUUAAAGGCCGCGGUAAUUUGACCGUGCAAAGGUAGCAUAGUAAUUAGUUUCUUAAUUGGGAUCUUGUAUGAAUGGUUGGACAAGAAAAAAUCUGUCUUUAUAUUUAUUAUUGAAUUUAACUUUUGAGUGAAAAGGCUUAAAUGAAUUAAAGGGACGAUAAGACCCUAUAAAACUUUAUAUUGUUUAUUAUAUAGCUGAAUUUUAUGGAAUAAAAGCUUAAUAAUAGGAUUUAUUAUAUUGGGGUGAUAAAGGUAAAAUUUUUGAUAACUGCUUAAUUUUUAAAAACAAAAAUAAAUGAAGUGUAAAAUGAUCCUAAUUAAAGAUUAAAAGUUUAAGUUACUUUAGGGAUAACAGCGUUAUUUUUUUUGAGAGUUCAUAUCGAAAAAAAAGUUUGCGACCUCGAUGUUGAAUUAAAAUUUCUAUAUAAUUGCAGCAGUUAUAUAAGAAGGUCUGUUCGACCUUUAAAUUUUUACAUGAUUUGAGUUCAAACCGGCGUGAG
rnacentral:rRNA from 1 species